GCUUAGCCCCGAUAGAAGUGGAAAUCCUUUUGUGGCGGGGUUCGCCAUAAAAGAUUGAAACGGAUAGCGGGACUAGAC
rnacentral:sRNA from 1 species